rnacentral:rRNA from 1 species
UGGGGAAUAUUGCACAAUGGGCGCAAGCCUGAUGCAGCCAUGCCGCGUGUAUGAAGAAGGCCUUCGGGUUGUAAAGUACUUUCAGCGGGGAGGAAGGGAGUAAAGUUAAUACCUUUGCUCAUUGACGUUACCCGCAGAAGAAGCACCGGCUAACUCCGUGCCAGCAGCCGCGGUAAUACGGAGGGUGCAAGCGUUAAUCGGAAUUACUGGGCGUAAAGCGCACGCAGGCGGUUUGUUAAGUCAGAUGUGAAAUCCCCGGGCUCAACCUGGGAACUGCAUCUGAUACUGGAAAGCUUGAGUCUCGUAGAGGGGGGUAGAAUUCCAGGUGUAGCGGUGAAAUGCGUAGAGAUCUGGAGGAAUACCGGUGGCGAAGGCGGCCCCCUGGACAAAGACUGACGCUCAGGUGCGAAAGCGUGGGGAGCAAACAGG